ACUUUUUCCAGGUUUGUAGCAGCACAGCCCUGCUGAGAACCUUGGGAAGAAAGUAGAGGUGGUGAGAUUGCCAGGAAGUCAGGAGGUUGACUCCAGAACUACAAUGAAUUGCCAUGCAUACUGAUUCCUUAUGGCAUAUACGGAGGGCAGGCAUUUCCUUUGGCAUCUGGAAAGUUCAGCUCUACCUUUCACAUAGACAGAAGAAUCAGAGUGGAAGAGCUACUACAUUUUCUGUGGCUUACCUCCUGGACAAUUCUCAGGAUGAGGCCGGCUGACUGAGCUCCGGCUCUUCUCAUGGCUGCUUGGCAGGAGACAGGAGACCUCCAGGAAACUUCCUCACUGGACAAACACUGCAGGCUCUAGUCUCAGCACUUCCGAAAGGAUGGGCUCGUUGCCCGGGAGUCUGGGAAAGGCAGCUUUGGCUGAGUUCCAGAACAUCUUCCCCUGGAUAUCUUGGGAAUCUUUCUAUCUCCUUUUGAGUUUAGUAAAUGAACUCUCUCCUUCCAAACCCAUGAAGGGGUUGAAGUGGGGAUGCUGUACUUUGCACCGAAUUCACUUUUGUGGAGGAGGAGCUGUUUACGUUUUUACAGUGAGUUGGCUUGUGGUCUCCGUGAUGUAAGAGUCGGGGAAAGGCCAUUAACUGGUUACAGGAAAGAAGAGCCUUACCUUAUUGCCACUUGCCAACAAGGAGGCACACUAUCUUUUGUGAGUUUUCCUUAAGAAAUGGAUUUGGAUCCCAACUCAGCUGCUUACUAGCUACAGGACCUAGAGCAAAUUAUUCUACUGAUGAUUUCCAUAAAAUGAAGAUCUAAUAGCACCCUCUCAUAGGAGCAUCAGAAAAUGAUCAAAUGAUGGCAACAGCUGCUGUAUGUAAUCUGGGUUGUGAGUGAAAUGGAAAGGUACAGAAGACUAUCAGAAGAGCACUGGAUUUGGAACCUCAAACUGGAAUUGAACUUGAGUCAAAGACUAAAGCAUGAUAGAAACCUCAAAAAAGUGUGCUCCAGAGAGAGACUGCAUCUUUAAUCUUCACUAUGCUGUUGCAGUAUUGAAGGGGCCAUGGAGAGCAUCUGAGUCUUGGCACUGUGAAAGGCCAGGAGAAUCCACUGGUGAAGGUGUGGCCACAGGUGAAGUGGAGAUCCCAGCAUACUGGAGAUGCUAGGACUGUGGGAGGACCACCCAGGACAAGGAGUGGUGCUGACUUGAGCCUCCUAGACAAGUUGUGUGUGCUGUGGAUGGCAGAGCCAGAGAAGUGGGAUUGUUCAAACCCUUUGGAGCUCAGAAGAUGCCGAGUUGAGA